rnacentral:rRNA from 1 species
UUAGCUGGUCUGAGAGGAUGACCAGCCACACUGGAACUGAGACACGGUCCAGACUCCUACGGGAGGCAGCAGUGGGGAAUAUUGGACAAUGGGGGCAACCCUGAUCCAGCAAUGCCGCGUGUGUGAAGAAGGCCUGAGGGUUGUAAAGCACUUUCAGUGGGGAGGAGGAUGCUUCGGUUAAGAGCUAGAGUAUUGGACGUUACCCACAGAAGAAGCACCGGCUAACUCCGUGCCAGCAGCCGCGGUAAUACGGAGGGUGCGAGCGUUAAUCGGAAUUACUGGGCGUAAAGGGUUCGUAGGUGGUUAAUUAAGUUAUCUGUGAAAUCCCCGGGCUCAACCUGGGCAGGUCAGAUAAUACUGGUUAACUCGAGUAUGG